rnacentral:lncRNA from 1 species
UCUAGUUCAGGAGGCUUUUUAUUUGACUCAAUAGGAUUAGUAAGAUAAGGUCUACGCUGGUUGUGUUAUAUGGGUAACAAUACCGGUGUUAUACGCCUUAUUUACUUUCCUAUUUGUUGUAAUUUUUAUUUUCCUAAUAUUAAUAAAAAAAUAAAAAAAUUGGCCAAAAAAAAAGACAUCACUUUUUUCAGCUCCAAGAACCCAACUGAAUUCUGUCUCCACACACCAUGGAAACACAACUCUAAACCAGCAAAAUGCCACCCCAAACCCAACUGGAGUCGACCCCAUAAAGACCCCAAAAAUACAGCUCUAAAGCCUUCUCAAACCUCCUUUAAAUAGCCCUAAAAUCUCACCCAAAACAACUGGAAAAAUAGCUUCAGAAACAACCACGAAAUCCAACUGAACCACCUCCAAAAACACCAUUAAAAGCACCUUCGAAACACCUAAUUUCAGCUCCAAAAACCUCACCCAAAACCAACAAAAAACAGUGACGAAAAUCAGCUCCUUUCACCUCCAAAUCUCAACAAAAUCAUCAGCUAAAACUCACCCCAAGAUACCUCAAAAGCCACCUCAAAAUCAGAUGCAAAACCAGCUCAAAAUAGCCCCACUUUAACUAAAAUCUCCACCAAAUAGCCAUGAUAGCUGGCUACAAAAGCUCCAUAAAAUUGCAAAAAAUAACCGCUUAAACAGAUCCAAACCGACCAAAAUGACACUGCUGGAAACUAGCUGAAAUAUCGUCUCUAAACAGCCAAAAAAUUUGUCCCAAACAAAGUUGAAACCCUAUCCCCAAAAAUUAUAGUUGAACAAGGUCAAUCGAGAUCGCCGGAAAAGUCCCUCUUCGUGGUCCUUUGCUACCAUUUUUUGUGGGUCAAAUUUUUAGCAUUGGAGUUCACAUCUAUUGUAUGUUUAGCUGAAGAUUCAUGCAAUAUAUUGAAGAGAGAUUUUGCUAUAAGGUCCUUAUCUCUUUCUUUCACUGAUUAUUCAUGAUGUCAUUAACCUUAUCUUGUUGUUUAAUAUAUUGAUAGUGUCGCGAUCCAAAAUUCACUAAGCGUCGUAGUGACGCUGGACAUCGGUGUCAGGCAAACCAACCGAAAUACUUAAUUAAAUUCUUGUUUAAAUAAUUUCCAAAAUAUUUCUUUUAUAUAAGUAAAACAACACUCAAUAUAUUCCUCUGAAUAAAUAAUGAAAUAUAUAACAACUUUUAAAAUUUUUGAAUAAGCCCAAAUACAUCCCAGAACCCGAUAUCACAAGUACAUUAGUAAUUUCUAAGAAAAAUCGAAUAAAGUACAACAGCUGUCUGGAAUACAAUUGGACAGAAAAUAAAUAGGAUCCUGAGAGAGACUACUAGCUGCGGGUCGCCUCGAGAAAAUACAGCUCACCUAGUCUCCGUGUCAACCAUGCCGCUAUGCCAUCAAGUCACUAGCCACACAUAAACCCGUGCAACAAAAAUGCACAUCAAGUGUAGUAUGAGUACGAAAAUAAUAUGUACCCAAUGAGUAUUCCGUCUAAUCUUGAAGAUGUAAAGACGAGAUGGUCGACUUCGACACUUAUUAGUGAUCCAAUAAUGAUGUUACUGAUAUAUUAAAUCGUGAAUUUCUAUAAACAUGAUUUUAAUUCAAUAGAAUGAAACAAGUAAACAAUUAAUUCGUUUAUAGGAAAUUUUCAAAAUUUCUUUUUAUUAUUAUCAAAACAUUCUCAGAGGCAAUAAUAACUUUAAUAAGUUCAAGAAAGCAAUACAAGCAUAUGCAAAUCAUGCCGAGGUCGAUGGCCCGUUCCAAUAGAAAAUAAACUAUGCACUUGCCGAUGGUCGACGGUGCACCUAUAAAUGCAUCUAUUUAAUCUGUCGAGGCGUUCAACCAUUUCCCAAAAUAAACACACACAGACAGAGAGUCAAUCAAGAAUUCAGCAUGGAGCAAUUAUUCAAAGAAAUGCCAAUUCUCUUUAAUAAUUUAAGAAAAUAAAGUUUAACUCUUUUUAGAAACUCAUUUACUAAUUCAAUGAGAUUAAAGCAGUACAAUCUGCCGAUAAGAUUGCAAUUAUUCCACGUAUAGCAUGCCUUUAGGUCCUGGACUACCCGGCAAUAGCAUAAUAGUAGCUACGCACGGACUCUCGUCACCUCGUGCAUACAUAGUCCCCAUAAAUAGGAGCACAUAGCCAUUUAUUUCACCUAUGGGGACAAUCUCCUAUUACAAGGUUAGAAAGCAGACUCACCUCGCUACGAAGAUCCAUAACCAGCUUCCAGGCCUCUUCUGACGACUCCAAUUGAUGUACAAACUAUCCGUAUAACAGGCAAACCCAUAAAAAAUUAAUCUAAUACUUGUAACAAUUCAAAUUAUAUAAGUUCUCAACUCCGCUCGAAAAUUUAACCAAAAUGUCCUCGGGCUCACGUGCCUGAAAUCUGAAAAUUUUGAAACUAAAGUAUACCUAUGAACUCACGAACUCAAAUAUAUGAUUUCCUCUUAAUUCCAUGUCCAAAAUCAUGGUCAAAAUCCAUGAGUACUAUUUUUUAGGUUUUCCUCAAACCCCAGGUUUUCUACAAAUUUCCAUAUCUAAAUUCAUAUAUAAACCUCGUAUUUAACUCAAAACCAGUAAACAUCACUUACCUCAUGCUUGGUGAUGAAAAGGACACUCCAAGUUGCUCCAAAAUCGGAUCCCAUGGAAGAAAUAAAGUGAAAAAUGAGUCAAAAUCCGAUUUUUAAAAGAACACUCCCAGAAGACCCUUCUAUGCGAUCGCAAACAUAGCCCCGCGAUCGCAUAUGCCAACUCUGCUGCCUCCUUAAGUCCUUCUACGCCAUUGCGACACCAACCCUGCGAUCGCAUAAGCCGUAGCCUUCCUCCUUUGCGAUCGGAUUGCACUUGUUUCGAUCGUGUAGGCCAAAUUCCAGCUCCCUCAGCUCUUGCUCUACGCGAUCGCAGACCCUUUCUCGCGAUUGCAUAUAGUAAAAAUUCGCAACGCUUAUACCAACCAAAAUACGGCCGAGGCAAAAAUCGAUCUAUUGAGCAUCUGAAACACGCCCGAGGCCCUCCGGACCUCAACCAAACCUACCAACCAGUCCUAAAAUAUAUUACGGACUUGCUCGAGGCCUCAAAUCAUAUCAAACAACGCUAAAACCAUGAAUUAUACCCCAAUUCAAGCUUUCUGAACUUUGAAAUUUUGAACUUCUACUUUCGAUGUUUAAACCUAUCAAAUCACGUCCAAUUGACCUCAAAUUUUGCAGUCAAGUCAUAUUCCACAUUACAGACCUACUCCAACCUCCGGAAUCGGAUUCCGACCCUGAUAUCAAAAAGUCCACUUCCGGUCAAACUUCUCAAAUACCACAAAAUUUUUGUCUUUAACCAAAUGACUCCAAAAUGACAUACGGACCUACGACUUCACUUCCGAUAACGCUCCCAACUCCGGAAUCACCAUACGGAGCUACUCCCAGACUUGAAAUCUCAAACGGACAUCAAUAACACUGAAAUGCACUUCAAGCCAAAUUUAUGAAAUUUCUUCCAAAAUGCUAACUUCCAUAAUAGGCGCCAAAACAUUCCCGAGUUCCAAAACCCGAUCCGGACAUAUGCCCAAGUCCGAAAUAAUCAUAGGAACCUGCUGGAACCUUCAGGUCUCAAUUCUGAGGUCGUUUACUAAAAAAUUCAAUCUAAGUCAAUUCUUUCAACUUUAAGCUCCCGAAUUAAGAAUUCUCCUUCCAAAUCAACUCUGAACUUCCCGAAAUUCAAUUCCAACAAUGCAUACAAGUCUUAAUACCGAAAUAACCUAUAGCCUUCACAAUAUUUUUAAAAUAUAGCAAGAAUAAUGAACAGUAGUAGAAAUGCUUUAGGUCCUGGUUUUAAAACUACUAUCAUGAGUGCGUACAUGUUCGUAUGACAUGAUUACGGUUAUUUCAAAUAAAUUCAAGGUACGCGUUUGCGCAGCUUUGAUCGAACUUUUUCUUAAAUAAACUAAAUAUGGUGAAUUAUGUACACUUACGCGUGACAUGAUAUUUGACACACUAAAAUUAAACGAGUAUACAUAUGCGUAACUCGUCUUAAAUAACGAGUAAUCAAGUAAUUAGUAGCGGUUAAAAGGGUAAAAUACACAUAGGUCCUAAAAUGAGUAGUUAGAUAAAAUAAGCCAAGUAUAAGUCAUUAAAUGACCAUGCUAAAACUAUGGAACUCGGGAGUGCCUAACACCUUCUUCUGGGUUAACAGAAUUCCUUACCCAUUUUUCUAGUUGCACAAACUUUUAACAAAGUCAAAAUUUCCUCGAUUUGGGAUUUAAAAUAAGAUUUGGGACACCAUAUAUAUUAUCCCAAGUAGCGAGUCUGAAAUUAAAUAAAUAAUUCCAUAUCGAUUAAUGUCACUUAAAUUGGAAGACUCCCUUAUAUCCUCUUUCGCGUAAAAGGAGGUGUAACAGCUCUGGCGACUCUGCUGUAGAUUAGAGCCCAGAAUCUCUGGUUCAGGGUUUAAGAAUUUGAGCUUGUUAAUGUCAUUUUUACUUGGCUAUUUAUUGUUGAUAUUAUUGUAUUUGUGGGCGUAAUAUGCUAAUUGCCGCUUAUUUAUUGCUUUGAUGUUAUUUGAACUGUGUUAAACGGUCUUCUUACACCUCCCUUCUGAGUCUUCUAAAAAAUGAUACACACAUUUGCGUGGCCUGCUUUUCUGCUACAGGUCGUACAAAAUACAACGAGAAUGGAUCAGCCACUAGGCCGGUUAGACUUCCGUGCUACUGGUACGUCGCCCCACCUCGGCUCUAGUUAUCUUCUUGGAUAAUCGAGGUCUAGAACACAAUCCCAAGUUUAAACCUAUAAUAACCAUACCUCAUGUCGGAUCCCUAGUAGGAAUAUUUGUUUGCAUACGUGCAUUUGACUUUGGGGACUCAAUGCAGGGGUUGGGUCCGUCUAUGAUAGAUGUACCCGAAAUAAAAGACCAUCAUCAUGCAUCUUACGUGCCAUUUGUACAUUUAUUUGCUUCGGCUUGUAUGUUGACC